UACGGGGGGGGCAAGCGUUGUUCGGAAUUACUGGGUGUAAAGGGCUCGUAGGCGGCCAACUAAGUCAGACGUGAAAUCCCCAGGCUCAACCUGGGAACUGCGUCUGAUACUGGAUGGCUUGAAUCCGGGAGAGGGAUGCAGAAUUCCAGGUGUAGCGGUGAAAUGCGUAGAUAUCUGGAGGAAUACCGGUGGCGAAGGCGGCAUCCUGGACCGGCAUUGACGCUGAGGAGCGAAAGCCAGGGGAGCAAACGGG
rnacentral:rRNA from 1 species